rnacentral:rRNA from 1 species
AUGAGGCCCACUGCAGCAGCAGCAGCCAAACCUUCCUUCUUCCUCGCCAGACACCAACCAUUCCCGACAUCAUCAAGGGCAGCAGCAGCAGCAGCCGAUCCAUGCAAGUCGCCCAACAAGUUGAGGCGCAUUGGCCGGUCAUGGCGAGCCGCGUCGGCGGGCAGCAACCGCGGCGACGAGCGCGGCCAGUCCGUAUCGACGGUGGCGACGACGCCGUCAGGGAGGCGGGCCCGGCUGUCGGCGAGGCGGCGGGAGAGCAUCAGGCUCCUGGACGUGCUGCCGGGCCAGGGCGGCAUCGGCGAGUUCCUGCGGCACCCCGCCGGCGUGGAGUCCCUGCUCAACACCCGGGCGCUGCAGAGCUUCGCGCCGGUGGAGUCGGAGUCGGAGUCGGGCCCGGCCGGCGCCUUCAGGUGCACGCUGCACCCCAUGGGCUUCCUCGGCUUCCAGGUCGCCCCGGUCCUGGACCUCCGCGUCACCCCGACCCGCGACGACUGCACCGUCGAGAUGCUCUCCUGCAGGUUUGAGGGUUCGGUCUCGAUCGAGCAGCAGAAUGAGCUCUUUUCAGCGGUUAUGACCAACCGAAUAACAUGGGGAGACAAUGGUGAUCAGGAGCCAUGCUUGGACAUCGAUGUCUAUUUGGAGGUCACCCUGGAGGUGUACACGAAGCCGUUCAGCUUGCUCCCGCUAUCGGCAGUGGAGAAACCAGGCAACCUGCUGAUGCAAGGUCUGCUUGACAGGCUUGUCCCGAUGCUGGGUGAGCAGCUGCUGAGGGACUACCAUUCCUGGGUUCAGCAGCAGACCCAGUCUUCAUCCUCAUGA